GGCAUGACAGGGGAUGCGAGGGGGUGUGCUGUGCUCCCUUAGAUAGGAGGAGAAAAAGUUCCCCUUCCGCCAUUCCGGCCCCGCCUCAACCUCCGCGCCACUCUUCCCCUGCAUGGACAGUCUUUAUUAGAGUAGAGCAAAGACCAUCUAGGAUAUUGGGGGAGGAAGUUUGAAUAUAGCAAAUUCUGAUUGUAAAACACAAAAGCCAGAAGGCAGUAGAAAAAUUUUUGAACUCGCGCGCUAGCUCCAUCACCUGGACAACGACAGAGGCACGUAGCAGAAUAGUCAAUUCAUGGAGCUCGAAUGUCAUUAUGGCCUAUUCUCUUCUACAUAAAGUGAUUAUUCUAUACAACUCAAUCAUUCAUCCGUGAUCUUAUUCAAGACAGUAUGUAUUCUAUGCUUUACAUAAAAAAGAAAGAAAAUUUCAUUGAUGCUCAAGUAGCCACGUAGUCCAUGAAGGCUUCCGGGUGACUGUUAACCUUCAAAUCCUAAUAGCAAUGAGGCUGGACUGGAGUAGGCUCUCAGGUGGCAAAUUAUGGCCUAAACCCAGGUGAAAUAGUAUCUGGCGGUGUGCCCACAAGGAUGAAGACUGAAGAGGCGGGUCCUCCAUCCGCCAAUGCCGCCAUAUCUAUAUCAACAUCUAAUUUUCUUCCUUGUGCACCAGAGAUGUGCAAUGUGUUGCCUAAAUGGGCCGCCGGUAUUCCUUCCUCCCUGCUCUGCUUCUGCGGUGCCAAACCGUAUAAAGCAUUUCUGGAUUCAAGGCAUCGGCACGCACCAGAACUUUUUGGGCCAAGCAAUUACCUUAAUCAAUGAAAUCCCCCGACCACCUUAACCCAUUCGAGUUCGAAGAGAAAACAUGCGAUUCAAUAAGUAGAUUAAACUCUCAUUUUUCUCUUCCCCUUGUUACCGGAGAUAAAAGGGUAGCUGAUUGUUCAGUGGAAUUAUGAGUCGUUCGGAUUCUUGAUUCAAUGUAGAUCAACUAGUCUGCAGUUCGAGUAGAAAAAAAGUAGUAUAUCGUAAUUGCUCUCCGCCUAACAACAGGACGGACAAUUAAUUUCGUAAGAUCAUUGAGCGCAUUAAUCACUAGCCAUUGAAAAUCUCA